CGACAGACAAUAUGAAGGUCAGGCUGAAGACCUUACCGGAUUUAGCUGAGAGGUGGGUGCAUGGCCGUCGUCAGUUCGUACUGUGAAGCAUCCUGUUAAGUCAGGCAACGAGCGAGACCCACGUCCACAGUUGCCAGCAUACCCUCCGGGGUGAUGGGUACACUGUGGAGACCGCCGCUGCUAAAGCGGAGGAAGGAAUGGGCAACGGUAGGUCAGUAUGCCCCGAAUCUCCCGGGCUACACGCGGGCUACAAUGGUUGGUACAAUGGGCAUCUACCCCGAAAGGGGAAGGAAAUCUCUUAAAGCCAAUCGUAGUUCGGAUUGAGGGCUGCAACUCGCCCUCAUGAAGCUGGAAUCCGUAGUAAUCGCGUUUCAACAGAACGCGGUGAAUACGUCCCUGCUCCUU
rnacentral:rRNA from 1 species